GUGUCAGCCGCCGCGGUAAGACAGAGGAGCCAAGCGUUGUCCGGAGUGACUGGGCGUAAAGCGCACGCAGGCGGUCGUGCACGUGGGGUGUGAAAGCUCUCGGCUUAACUGAGAGAGGUCACCUCAUACGGCGCGGCUCGAGCCCUGCAGAGGUCCACGGAAUUGCCGGUGUAGUGGUGAAAUGCGUAGAGAUCGGCAGGAACACCCAGGGGGAAACCAGUGGACUGGGCAGGGGCUGACGCUCAGGUGCGAAAGCGUGGGGAGCGAACCGGAUUAGAAACCCUCGUAGUCC
rnacentral:rRNA from 1 species